rnacentral:rRNA from 1 species
CGGACUGCAGUCUGCAACUCGACUGCACGAAGCUGGAAUCGCUAGUAAUCGCGGAUCAGCAUGCCGCGGUGAAUACGUUCCCGGGUCUUGUACACACCGCCCGUCACACCAUGGGAGCCGGUAAUACCCGAAGUCAGUAGUUUAACCCUUGUGGAGGACGCUGCCGAAGGUAGGAUUGGCGACUGGGGUGAAGUCGUAACAAGGUAAC